UACAUGGGGUGCAAACGUUGCUCGGAAUCAUUGGGCGUAAAGCGCGCGUAGGCGGUUAUUUAAGUUGGAUGUGAAAGCCCUCGGCUUAACUGAGGAAGUGCAUCCAAAACUGAAUAGCUAGAGUACGAAAGAGGGUCGCGGAAUUCCCGGUGUAGAGGUGAAAUUCGUGGAUAUCGGGAGGAACACCGGUGGCGAAGGCGGGGUCCUGGGCCAGUACUGACGCUGAGGAGCGAAAGCGUGGGGAGCAAACAGG
rnacentral:rRNA from 1 species